GAGUUUGAUCCUGGCUCAGAUUGAACGCUAGCGGCAGGCUUAAUACAUGCAAGUCAGGGGCAGCACGGUUAGCAAUAACUGGUGGCGACCGGCGCACGGGUGCGUAACACGUAUACAAUCUACCUUAAACAGGGGGAUAGCCUUUCGAAAGAGAGAUUAAUACCCCGUAAUAAAUUGAACGGCAUCGUUUGAUUUGAAAGCUCCGGCGGUUUGAGAUGAGUAUGCGUCUGAUUAGCUAGUUGGUGAGGUAACGGCUCACCAAGGCGACGAUCAGUAGGGGACCUGAGAGGACUAACCCCCACACUGGUACUGAGACACGGACCAGACUCCUACGGGAGGCAGCAGUAAGGAAUAUUGGUCAAUGGAGGCAACUCUGAACCAGCCAUGCCGCGUGCAGGAUGACGGCCCUAUGGGUUGUAAACUGCUUUUAUACAAGAGAAAACCCUGGUACGUGUACCAAGUUGAUAGUAUUGUAAGAAUAAGCAUCGGCUAACUUCGUG
rnacentral:rRNA from 1 species